UGCCCAGACUCCUACGGGAGGCAGCAGUGAGGAAUAUUGGUCAAUGGCCGAGAGGCUGAACCAGCCAAGUCGCGUGAGGGAAGACGGCCCUACGGGUUGUAAACCUCUUUUGUCGGGGAGCAAAGAGAGUCACGUGUGACUCAUUGAGAGUACCCGAAGAAAAAGCAUCGGCUAACUCCGUGCCAGCAGCCGCGGUAAUACGGAGGAUGCGAGCGUUAUCCGGAUUUAUUGGGUUUAAAGGGAGCGUAGGUGGAUUGUUAAGUCAGUUGUGAAAGUUUGCGGCUCAACCGUAAAAUUGCAGUUGAAACUGGCAGUCUUGAGUACAGUAGAGGUGGGCGGAAUUCGUGGUGUAGCGGUGAAAUGCUUAGAUAUCACGAAGAACUCCGAUUGCGAAGGCAGCUCACUGGACUGCAACUGACACUGAGGCUCGAAAGUGUGGGUAUCAAACAGGAUUAGAUACCCGUGUAUA
rnacentral:rRNA from 1 species